CAGCAACAAUUUGUAAGUUAGUCUUGCUUUUUCUUUCAUGCAGAAUAGCAAGAAAUGCCCAUUGAAAACUAGAAACACAGAAAGAAAAGGCAGAUCCCUCAGCCUUUUUCGACCUUGCCAUCCAGUGGAAAAUGCGUGCAAGACCUGGAAAGUGAUGUGAUUCUCAGACCUGUCAGAUUUCUUAUAGACCUCAAAAGAAUCACAUGGCCACCAAGUCCAGCUUCACUUUGAUUUAGUAGCCCAUCACAGAGAUCACCAGAAAAGGCUAUCACCAGAAUGGCAGAACAGAAAUUUCCUAGCCUUUGUGUGAGGGUAGCAAGAUGAUAAGGAUUAUAAGACUCCCACAGCAUUUCAGAAGGCUGGUUGCAUCUUCUGAUGAAGACUCUGGAGGAGAGAACACAGAGAAUGGACUUGCCAGCUUGCUUUCCUCAAAACCGUUGCAAAGCUGCAGUGAAAUUCCAUUCAACUGGGUUCUGAAAGUUUUACUCGGUGGCAUUUCCUGAGGUUAACUGCU